UGUACCUGAUCCUGGUCGCUGUCUCUGCGCCCGAUCCUGACCUGAACUUGUGGGUCUGCGUCCUGGCUCCUUGCUGGUGAGGUCACCGUUGGUGCCUGCCCUGCUACUGGGCUCGGCUCCCGAUUCACCUUCUCUUGCGGAGCAGCCAGCCCUCGCUGCUGCCUGACAACUGUGGAGCACAAGUUAUCCAGGUGUUACCUGAGUCAAAAGGACAUAUCACAUGCUAAAGGCAGAAUCCUUCUGACAGCAUGAUCAUCACCGUCCUCUGAGUGCUGCAGAGUAGCUAUGCCAUGCAUUAAAUAGAUGAUUGGAUCUUUCUAAUGCCAAUGCAUCUUUAUGGGUAUCUAAAUGAAAUGCAAGACUCCCACCUCCUGAGUGAGUGCACAGUCUCUGGACUAUAAAGUCUUGUAGCUGCUUAUAUUCUGACCCUUGCAUUUAAUAGCUGCAAUGUGAAAGUGUAAACACCACCAGCUACUAAAGCUAACCUGCCAUCUAACAUGGAGGUGCUUCUCUAGGAGGUGAGAGAAGUGAUCUCGACUCCCUAAAGCUUCUAAGUAUGCAGAACCUUCUGCUUUUUGGGAAAAUGAUCCUUUGUACCUACUCAGGAGAGAAGGGAUGUAUUUCUCAUCAGAUGUGAAGAAUGCGAUGCUGGAGAGUUGUGGUGUUCACACAGAGCUCUGGAUUCUUUCCAGAAGGUGCAGUCUAAAGGUUACAUGUUGCAAUACACACUGGAUAACUCUCUGAAUUCCCUCAGUGGCAGGACUGGGACUAGAAUCCAGGAUUUCUCCCUUUUUGCUAGUAAAUGAUAUCUUCUAUAAUUUGAGGAGAAGGAACUGAAAUGGGAGACUAGAGAGCUCAUUUGUUACCAAUGGCAACUCAAG